GACGAACCGUGCGAACGUUGUUCGGAAUCACUGGGCUUAAAGGGCGCGUAGGCGGUCUGCCAAGUCCGGGGUGAAAGCCCCCAGCUUAACUGGGGAAGUGCCUUGGAUACUGGCGGACUCGAGGGAGGCAGGGGUUGUGGGAACUUCCGGUGGAGCGGUGAAAUGCGUUGAUAUCGGAAGGAACGCCGGUGGCGAAAGCGCACAACUGGUCCUCUUCUGACGCUGAGGCGCGAAAGCCAGGGGAGCAAACGGG
rnacentral:rRNA from 1 species